rnacentral:misc_RNA from 1 species
AUUUUAAUGAGUAAAUAUUUAUGUUCAUUAAAAAAAUUUCCAGAAGGUUAAAUUGAGUAAAUGAACUUAGAAUUUAAUGAAGAGGAAAAUUAUAAUAAAAAUUCUUGGAUAAUAACACACUUCCACCAUUGCAAACCCAUUUCAACAUAAGAAUUGCACAAUUACCUUCUUCUAUUGGCCCCCAACAAAACCCCCCAUUAUCAGGUACAAUUCUCUCUAGCCUCCCAUCAUUUUAAAAUAAAGUACAAUAUCCAAAAAAAAAGGGAAAAAAAAUUAAAAUUAGCCCUCAAUUAAUGCAUGCACUCCCACCAAUAAAAUUAACAUAGAAGAAUGCGAAAGAAAAAAUGAAAUUAAAGAAAUAUAUGUGAAAUCACAUUCACAUGCUUCUAGUCAUCAUCUCCUGGAAUCUCCUAUAGGACUCUUGCUUCUCCAGCAUGAACUUUUCAUGGCAGCUUGCAAUGAACAUGUCUGCUAGCCGAUCAAUCUCAUUCACAUCUCCCUCUGGAUCUCCAUUACUGGACUUGUCUUGAACCUUUAGAUCUUCCAGCCAAUGAAGGUACCUUGAAAGCUGAGACUCCGGAUUUUCCUGAUUAAUUCUUGUAAUUAAAGAAUUCCACGUUGAAUCAUAGUACAGAUGAGAUGCAGAAGAAAACUCCUCAGGAACUACUGGUUCUUGCACUGGCAGAACAUGGGAAGAGCACCAGUUAUAGUGCAACCUAAAGGAACCAAAAAAUACCUUCCUUUGCCUGUGCUUCCUUUUGGUUUCCUUUGUAGCGCAAAUGAGGUUCAUAGGCUGGCUUUUUUUGAGAAUCUGAACGAGCAUUGUUUUUGAUUUGGACAGAGCUCGAACAAUCCGGGACACGUGUGAGAUAAUGAGAGUGUGGAUAAGGGUUUUGAUCUUCAUGGAGCUCAGGGUGGAAGAUGGUGUCUUUGCUGAGAAAACUUGAAGAGGGUGCAGAGUUUUGAGGUUGGGUGAGGUGACCAUUGUGUGUGUGUUUUCUUGGCCUGUGUAGUGGUGGGGUUUCUUGGUUUCUAUCAAAUGGAAUUUAUAAAGGGUCUUGAUUACCAAUUUGCCACUAGACUUUUAGGUUAUUUAAAGGGAGAGUCACCCACUAUGCAGAUUGUGAAGACUAUUUCCUCAUUUCCCCUUUUUCUUUUUCACUUUCUUGGACGUGCAAUUGACAAGGACUUUGGAAAAAUCUUGAACUGCCCUCCCAUCUAAAGAUUUUAUUUUUCUUUCCUGUAGCUAAAGAAGACCCGCUAAUAAUUUUUGAAAAUUAUUUAUUUAUUUAUUCAAACUCGAAGUCUUAUCAUUCGGAAAAAUAAAAA